GCGAUCUUGGUAUAUAGGUUGUGCCGCAGACUUCCAAUCUGCUGAAACGGGUUCGAGUCCCGUAGAUCGCUCCA
rnacentral:tRNA from 1 species